rnacentral:pre_miRNA from 1 species
UCAUAAUGAUGAUGAUGAUGGUGAUGAUGAUGAAAAACGAAAAGACCGUAGUUACCAUAAACUACGGUCUUCUUCUUGUUUGUCAUCGUCAUCAUCAUCAUCAUAAAAU